GGACAGUUGGCUGAGAGGUUUAAAGCACCGGUCUACUAAACCGACGAACGUUAAUGCGUUCCCAGGGUUCGAAUCCCUGACUGUCCGCCA
rnacentral:tRNA from 1 species